rnacentral:rRNA from 1 species
AGUGAACGCUGGCGGUAGGCCUAACACAUGCAAGUCGAACGGCAGCACAGUAAGAGCUUGCUCUUACGGGUGGCGAGUGGCGGACGGGUGAGGAAUACAUCGGAAUCUACUUUUUCGUGGGGGAUAACGUAGGGAAACUUACGCUAAUACCGCAUACGACCUACGGGUGAAAGCAGGGGCUCUUCGGACCUUGCGCGAUUGAAUGAGCAGAUGUCGGAUUAGCUAGUUGGCGGGGUAAAGGCCCACCAAGGCGACGAUCCGUAGCUGGUCUGAGAGGAUGAUCAGCCACACUGGAACUGAGACACGGUCCAGACUCCUACGGGAGGCAGCAGUGGGGAAUAUUGGACAAUGGGCGCAAGCCUGAUCCAGCCAUACCGCGUGGGUGAAGAAGGCCUUCGGGUUGUAAAGCCCUUUUGUUGGGAAAGAAAAGCAGCAGGUUAAUACCCCGCUGUUCUGACGGUACCCAAAGAAUAAGCACCGGCUAACUUCGUG